UGGCUCGAGUGGCGAACGGGUGAGUAACACGUGAGUAACCUGCCCUUGACUUUGGGAUAACUUCAGGAAACUGGGGCUAAUACCGGAUAGGAGCUCCUGCUGCAUGGUGGGGGUUGGAAAGUUUCGGCGGUUGGGGAUGGACUCGCGGCUUAUCAGCUUGUUGGUGGGGUAGUGGCUUACCAAGGCUUUGACGGGUAGCCGGCCUGAGAGGGUGACCGGCCACAUUGGGACUGAGAUACGGCCCAG
rnacentral:rRNA from 2 species